rnacentral:piRNA from 1 species
UCCAUCUGUGAGAGAGCAACGUGAUGUAAC